CUCUCUUCCUUCUCCUUUGUGGUUUCAGGCCAGACCUAUCUAGAGAGUACAUACCUACCCUUAGUGGGAAUUGAUUAGCUACAGUCUCCAGAUGGGCAAAGCUUCAUGUUUCGGCCUGUGAGGAAAAGAGGACAGUAUAUACCAACUUCCACAGGAAGCAAGAACACCGGGAAACCAGACAAAGUCCACCGAUUUAUUAAAAGAACCUCUUGUUUCCACAACAUUCUAUGGAGUUAAGUCCAGGCUGAAAAGGAAGGCCCAUCCUCCCAGUAUGGCACAAAUGUGAACAAGCAGCCUCAAGGUCCUGAUGCCGCAGCUCCGAGCUUCCAAGAUGUCUGCCGUGAUUCCUCGGCCAUGACGAGUUGCAGCCUCCGAAAGCCUGAACUGAACCACAGUCUUCCUCUUUAGCGUUCCUUCGGCCGGGUAUUUGCUAUGGCAACCAGAGAAGUUUCCAGAACCUCAUGAGCCUUCCAACCUCGAAGUUCCCUGUAAGCAUAGAGGAGUAUUAACAACGCUUUAAAACCCGGCACGGAUUCCUGUUCCAGGCAAAAACUUGGCAAUUUCUUCUCAUGAAUCAUCUUCCAGUGGUGCUAUUCCACACCAGCAGAAGAAUUAUGUGAGGCCACAGUCUUGGCUGGCCUGUUCUCAAAGAAAACACACAGCCCCAAAUUCCAUGUGGUGUUUGAAUUGGCCCUCAGAUCCUGCACCCGGUCGGCCCGUGAAGCCGAGUGAAGACGGACUCUCAUGCGAAUGCUGUGGGGAUGUCUGUCUAGACUCAGCAGAAGGGAUGGCGCUGCCUAGAUGAUUGCAUCAUAAUACCCACCCCCAGAAUUCUGCUGUGCCCAUUCAUGGAGUGGAACAUGAGCCGAGCCUGUCCCACUUUUAACAAUUCAGCCAUCCAGCUAUUGUCUUCCCAGGUCUACUGCACACCAGAGGAAAGAAAGAGACAUCUAAGAGGUCGCAGUCAGCCAAGGGACACUGGGAAAAUACAGUAUGGACAAGUGGUGUCCCCAAGGCCAUGAGGAUUAGAAUGUGGAAAAUACCCAUCAACCUAACUCAGAUAAACACGGAAAAGGGGGCAUGACGCAGUCUCCAGCUUCAAGCCCUUUAUGUACACAUAGAAAAUACACAUCAGAACACACACACACACACACACACACACACAUGCACGCACACACACGCACACACACACAUUGAUCGUGCCAUGCUUUGCAGGACUUCGAUAAAGUUCAGACAAAGGAAAAUGGAAGACCAGCUACCUCAAAUGCCAUUCUCAGACUGGGUUCGGGGACACAUAAUUGUGAAUCCCAGAAUUCAGGAGGCCAAGGCAGGAGGCUCAGGAGACCGGGACCAGCCUGGUCUGCAUAGUGCAGCACCACUGAAGCAACAACAACCGAAGAUUCCCAUCACAGACAGGCACAGGAUGGAGCCAAGGCCAGCAGGUGGAAGUCGCAGAAGUUAGAUGAAUCUCACUGACACAUGGACACAUCCAAUUGUGAGGACUCCUAACCAGCCGGCUGUCUUUGCAACAAGCCGGAUCCGUGUGAGUAGAAACAUCCAAGUAGCGAACGAAGACUGUCUCGAAUGAAGUUGUAGAACUGAAGGGAAACUGCCCUCGACCCUUUGAAGAACUGCUAGUGUCAACCGAGAAGGAACAAGCGGGGAAGCACUAACCAUGAUUUGCAAACGAAGAACCCCUUUCGAUGGGCAGAGUGGGGGACGCGGAAAAUUUGUAGCAAAAUAGUAAACAGCUUUCAGGGAAAGUCAGGUGGUGUACAAUGGCGAGUGUUCUGUGGCCUGUGGCAGUCUAUUUGGCCUGGAUCUGAGACAAUGGUUUGGAAAAGCUUCUCUACGGACCAAACAAUGGCUGUGAUGAAAAGUCCACCCAGGUGUGUUUACCGAUCUCAGCCUAGCUUCCUGGGAUAUGAGCUGAGUUUUCUCUGGCUAAUGGAGCUGCGUGUGCAGCCUGAGGGGCACUCAGCUUCUCUGUGGGCAGAUGGGCUCCUUGGAUGGAAGUGAGGCCUUUGUGGAAAAUCUUUUUCUGCUAGAGAGGGGAGGAGACAAAGGAAGGUCAGGAGCCUAGACUCUGAGUUUAACAUCAGGCCUUUUAGAUUAAAUUGCUCGAUAUACCAAAGAUGCUGUAUUUGGAGAUAUCAGUCACCGUGUUCCGAUCUAAGAAAAAGUGAGAACGAACUGCACGGAAUUCAGUAAAUCUGAGGCGGGGCCCAAGAACCCGCAUUUGUUGUUGGCGCAGAGACAGACUCCAUAAGGACUGUUAAACUCUGCUCCUGGGCUAAGGUUUUAGGUGCCCUGGGAGCAAAUUAUCUACAUAACCAGAAGCAGAAGGGGGCUCCCCAGUAAAGAGUUGGGUGUGACAGUCCCUUUGGAAGUGUUAAUGUGGAUUCAGAACCAGAGGACUGGAUUUAACCUCUGCCUCUGAGGACAAUUCUGUCUUCAUAGAUGAUUAUCCCAGACACUUUUUCAAGGUCUGCUUUUUCCCCUUCCUCUUCAUCUCAGUUUGCUGGAAGUAUUCCUUUGGGUUCAGGUAGGGAAGCACAGGUGGGAGCGGGGACUAAAGUUAUGGCUGCCUUUCGUUCGUGUAGCAGUUAUAUACUUUCUGACUUUGAUGCCUUGAAACAAAACAGAGCAACAACCUGCUUCCUGAUAUGUGAUGAGGACUGUCACACCGCCUUACCUGAUGAUCUGUACUUGACCCUACACAGGGGGUGUAAAAUCACCUGAGCACAUGUGUCUGAGUCUCAUGGGCAGCUAUGAUGGGGAAUAAGGAGAGACGAGAGCAGUCUCACAAUACCUUGUACAGCGUAACUCUCUGCGAGCGCUCUGUUGCAGAUCAUUUCCUGUGGACAUCCUUGUGACUGAGCAGCUUAGCCUGUAGGACACGCAAGGCACUGUUUGGAGAAGGAACAUGACGCUGGGGACAGCAAACACCGUAUAAGAAAGAUUCAGGUCAUCCCUACUCUGUAACUAAAGCUUUCUUGGACUAUACGGAAGGGGGAAGGCAGAGGUGGGGAGGAAGGAAGGGAAAGGAGUCUUGAGUUUCACCAGGAAGCCAGAAAGGAGAAGAAAUAGUACAAACUAUGGUGUGGGGGGAUGGGCUCUGGGGAAGGUACCUAGGCCUGCCAGGGACUUUAGUCACUCCUGCCUCUGCCUCUCCUCUGAUUUCUUUCUCCAUAUCCAUCCUUUCUCUGCCUCUCUCGCCUACCUGCUCCCCUCUGGAGACCUAGAAAACACAUCAGUGGACCAAAAGAGCGAGGAGACAGACAGUAGGCUAAGAAGAACCUCUCAGCAGAGGUCUGGGGAUAAUGUGACAGUAUCCAGAGGAAGAUAACCCUGCCCUAGGAACACAUAUUUUAAGACUGUAUACCUCCUGUAGUAAAAAUGAAACCUGGCAGAAAGAGAAGUGUCCUGAUUUAGCAAGGAAUUGAUGUUUGUUUGUUUGGUUUUUUUUUCUUUUAAACGGCCGGAGCGAAUGUUACCAAAAUAAACAAAGAGAACAUUCCAAAACUAUAAUUUUUUUGUACUCUUUGCAUUUUAAUUUGGCUUUGCAGCUAUUACAAGAGGCCCAAGAGGAAAGCAACAGGUAAAAUUCUGGAGAGUACAGAGAUGAAUCCUAGAGAGCCGUCUUGUCUUUGAAACUGUGGCAAUGACAGGACACGUUCAGGGGACUCUUAGGGGUUCUGUUUGUGGCUGGCAUUCUUGGUCCUAGGCUCUUGUAUCUCCCAGAGACCUCGGACAUCUUAGAGGCCACAGGAAAAAUGCAAACUUAGUAACACCCAAAAGAUCUUGUCCCUCCCAUUCUACAAAUGGAUGUAAAGCAGCUCCUGUGUCCUGCCUACUCUAGAGAAGGAUGUAAAGUGAGUCCUAAGGCUAGAGAGAUGGCUCAGAGAUGUCACAAGAAGCAGGAGGACCUGAUUUCAGACUAGUGCAGCCAUGAAAAAGCUGAGCAUUGUGAGGGACUCCUAUAACCCCAGGGCUGGAGUGGAGGAAGGCCCAGUGAAGAGGCUCCUGGAGGCUCACUGGCUAGCUAGUCUAGCCAAUCAGUGAACUCCAGGUUCAGUGAGAGACCCUGUCUCAAAAUUAGAGAGUGAUAUAGGAAGAUGCUAGACAUUGACCUGUGACCCACACAUGCACACAUUGACCUGUGACCACACAUGCACACAUUGACCUGUGACCUACACAUGCAGACAUUAUUGAGUGCACAGUUAUUCUGCAUGCAUGCAGAAGUGGUUAUGAGCACCUCUCCACAAGGAGUUGCCAGCUGGUCGUAAGGGUUAAGUGGUUGGCCAGUGCCAUUGUUGCAGCUUCAGCAGGCCGUGGGCCCUCAGCCCCAGCUAAAAGGCUUUGAGCAACCUGAUCCAGGGAAGCCUCCAACAGACCAGCAAGUGAGAAGACUGGCUCCUGGGACACCUGCUGAUGUCAUUCUGUAACCCUGCAUGGCUCUUGUCACCUUCUGAUGUUCUCAGCAGCGAGAACAUUCCUGUUUCCUCACAAGACAGCCAGGAUCACCUGAGGACACUUCUUGCAAAGAUCCAGCUGGCCCCAUCGAAGUGUCACCUGAUCCUGUGUCCCUUUCAGGAGCGAUGGCCAUCUCUCCCACAGUAACAAUUACCCUGCAACUGAGCUUGUGAGGAGGGUGAGCAGAAUCCUUUUUUAAUCUACAAAGUAAUACCUCAACCCUUUGUCCUCUUUCAGAAAGGGAGAGGGUGACUAAUAUCCCAACAGUCUUUGUUGAUUCCGAAACUGCUGAAAAGAAACAAAUGCUUUGGAAUGAAAAUAGAAGUGUAAUGUGAAGCUGUCCCACACACAAACAAUCCAUCUGCAUGCAGAAAACAUGUCCCCAGCGUGACAUUCUGGGAAAGAGCAUCACAACACAGGGCUGGCUCAGAUCAUCUGCGCAUGACAUAAAUAUAGGUUUAUGGAAAAGCAAGCCAAGUCCCCUGUAAGUCACCUCUAAUCCCUUCCUAAGCUGUUAUUGAUAGUGUCUCCAAACCCCAGGCCUACCCUCAGUACAAUGGGCAACAUAUCAGAAGAAUAUAUAUGCUGUCUUCCUUCUCACAGAAAUGACAAUCUAAUGGAGGACUCACGGUAUUUGUCUAGAAGCAGCCAUUGGAGACCAACACAAAAUUUAUUAUAAUCAGGAAACACACUAAGAACAAUAGCUGAUGUGUCUGUCUUAAAGACUUACUAAGUGUCGAGUCCUUGACUAAAGUUUUCAGAUAAAUUGUCACACUAAAUCCUUGGGGAAAUGACCAAGAAUGGUUAUUAGUGUUUGAGAAGCCUGAACUCAGGUCCGGUAAACUUCAGUAAAAGAGAGCAUCCCCAAUGCAGAGAAUGCUCCCCACCCUCAAAUGUAGCUGGCUUCAUUCAAAGAAGGUGACCCUGGGUGCUAGAACAGUGGGAAACUGCCUUGUCACGGGCCUGAACACAGGCCUGACCUGAUGCCAACUCAAGACAAGACAGACGCAGCUGGACUCUGUCCAUGACCAUGUGUGGGAGUCAUGUGUCCUUGACAACUUGAGUUCUGGUCCCAGAUCUGCCUGACCGAGGCCUGGAAUGGUAGGUGACUUUCUCAGUGUCACAGUGAUUCCUUAACUAUGAAUGGUAGUUCUCAGAUAUUGUCCAGAAUUUGUCUUAUGUACAAGGGUCAGAGGAGGAUACAGUUUUAUAGCACACGAUACAACCCGGGCUCUUUUGGAAGCUUAUCUCCUUUAUAAGAAUUUCUCCUACUGACUGUGUGCUUUGAGUAUCAGAUUGGCACAGAGCUCAUACCCAAUACCCAAGUGAGCUAGAUGGGCACAUCUCCCCUGGCCGGUGUUCUCACUCUCCAUGUACUUCCACUUGAGGUCUUAAGCUAUCUUGAACUAACCCAGAUCCUGAGGAUGUAAGUAGAGUGUUUCAUCUCGAUCAUUCGAAACUGGCCCCUAAGAGCCAGUCCCUUCUCAGGGAGCUAAGAAGACAGGUGGGACCAGGAGAUAAUGAUGGAGUGGGAGGAAACUCUAAUCUUGUGGGCAGUAUAAAAGAUGUAAAUGAUGUAAACCCAGGGACCAAGGGUCCUUUUUCUGUAUCCCAUACUGGUUCAUUCAUUUAGUGGGACAAAGGUAUGUAGGGAACUUUCUGUUGGAUGUCUGAGUCAAAUUCCCAAACCAUCUAGAAUAUGACAAAGAUAUCGUCAGUUUAUCUUUACUGUCAACGUCUGCAUGAAUGUCCUGUUUUCCUCCCCUGCAGAAUCUGUGAGUUGAAAAUUGUGUGUCUCUCGCCUAUGGAUGAGGUGACAGGAAGCCGUGCAGUUUGUUCAAUGUCCAGUAGGAUGAGCAAUGCUGAGCCAAGGCUCAAACUCCCGUCCCACCUGAUUCCCAGCCUUUGUUUAGCUCUGCCUGCCAUCUGCUCUGAUGGGAAUGUGACUAUCAAGUCACAGUCUCCUCCUGUGAGUCACAAAGCACUUCCAGAAGGAAAAGACUCUGCUUUGGAGAAGCCACUCAUCCACACUGGGAGUUAUGCACACAUUGAUGUGUAGUCCACAACGUCUCUUAAGGGUUUCUUCAAGUCAAAUGACUACUGUCCCUAGCAACUACAAUGAUCCAGUAUAUAAAGGAUUUAAGCAAGGAUGAGAAAGCAAUUGUUUGGGAUCCACAGCUAUUAUUCCUAGGUAUGAUUUCUAUUCAAUUCUUACCCCAUAGACACCCACCAUUCUAGCACUGGUGAUUAGUGUGCCUCGCAUAGGACUUUCAAAGUUAGAACUGUAGUAUCUGUACAUGUGUCUCACUUCUGGGCUUAGCAUAUUUUUGAGCUGCUUCUCCACCAUUGCAGAUAUCAUGCAUAACAUUCUUUUUUGCAGGUGAGUGCUAACCCAACUUGUUCACCCUGUUGAUGAGUAUGUGAGUACUCUGACUUUUUUGGCUAUUACUAGUGAAGGCAGGAUAUUGUUUAUGGUCACACACUCUCCUUAGUGGGAUGCUAAGUCAAUGAGAAGGGGCCCAUGCAACCUGAAUACUUAAAUUCUGUCAAAGAGUUCUCCCCAGUGAUUUUUAGAGGGCCAGGGUCUUGAUUCUCUACAUCAUUGUCUACAUUUUGGUUUUUCAUUGUAUUUCUGGUGGCUUCACUGUUGUUCUGGUUUUCUUUUCCCUAACAGCUGAUGAAAUGAAACAUCUUUUCACAAUCUUAGCCGAAGAUUCACUGCCAUAUUUGUUGCUCCUACAGAUAGGAACCAGUCUUAUUUUAGGAUGCUAUUUGCAUAAUAAAUAGAAAAAGACCUUGGAGCCAGACUGAGGUCCAAAUCUUCAUUCUGCCACUUACUAUCCCCAAUGACUUUCCUCUGGAGUUCAUCCUCCUUUCCCCAUUCCCAUGUCCUUGUAAGGUGUCCUUCCUCCCCUCUCUCCCAUGCAGAGUUGAUUCCUCUAGAGAGAACAGGAAUCCUAAACUGAGACAACUGGAUCCUUCCCUGGGAAGUUUGAGAGAGAAGGGAGGAACGGUUGGAGGAGGACAGGAGAGGAUAGAAGGGGAAGGGAGGAACCAGAAGAAAGAAACCAGAAAAGGUGUUUCAGGUGCUAAAUCAAUAACAUUGACACUGAACACUUUAGGCACCCUUUGCUUUCAACAGAUGAACCACUAAAUUUGAAGGGAGCCAGUCUGCGCGUCAGAGGAGAAUUAUUCAGACGGCAGAAGAGAGUGCAAACAUGGACCUGACCAAGGGCACUGAAUGUUACUUUCCUUCUCUCUGGGGGGACAUCACAGGACUCAGUGGUGUGUGCUUCUGGGAAGGCUGAGUCUCUCAGCAUUUAAUCAGGAUCUUUCUGCCUCCAAAUACCAUGUGUCACUUCCUGGCUUGAAGCAGUGAAAAUCCCCUGUGAGAGUCUCCGGUCUCUCACUUCCCCUGCUGGGGCAAAUUCAUAAGUUUCACGUUGAGAUGACAGAUCCAACAGUACAGAAGCAGCUGAGUCUCUGAGUCACCACACAGAGGACAGCUGUCCUGGAGAGCCAUGCAGACCCGAGGGCUAGGAGAAAUAGCGUUUAUUGUCUUAUGCCAUGGAGAUCUUGAAAUUGUCAUAACUUAGUUCGUCCUUGUUCAUAGCCUGUCUGAGCCUUAGUUCCCUCUUGGAUAAAAUGGGGUAAGUUUGUUAUUUGUGCAUGAAGUAAUGUUGACUUUGAGGUACUUUCCAUGACACCUACACAGAGAAGUAUUAUGAAGAAGCAUAAUUUCUUCUCCUUAAGCAUGUACGAUCUCCUGGCCUAGUGUGUUCUAGUACAGCCUAUGUCUACCAGUAGGAUCUAGCCAUUGCACAUACAGUGUCAUGGGUCAUGCAUUCACAGUAUUUGGAGAGAUUUGCAGCCAUGUCUAGAGGGAUCUGUGUGGAUGAGUGUGACUUGUCCUUGUCAGGGGACACACAAAGGACUGAGGGUGAUGCAGGGCUGUAGACUGAUUUGUCCUACUGCCAGAAACUACAGAGCUCAUUUUGUUCGCAGGGAGCAGGGCCAAGCACCCAGGGCUCUGUGGGAUGCUCUCCUCUUCCUCUUUGUUAUGACAGAUGGACAGUGACCCACAAGCCAGCCCUGGGGAGAAAAGAGUUUGCCUUGCCAGCUGGUCCUGAAAAAGAAAGCAAAGAAAAUAUGCUGGAAUAUGCUGGAGGCACCAAGGUUAGCUUUGGACAUCCUUCCUACACCUCAUGUAUGCAUGUCUUGUCAAACUGGACUCUGUUCAAACUGGACUCUGUGCACCUCCACUCCAGUGUGCCUGUGUGCAUGCGAGCAUGUGUGUGCCUUGCAGAAAGUCUUAUUGGGGCUCAGCAAAAAUGAGUUCAUUGUCAUUCUUUCCUACAAUUCUGUUUGGCGUUUACCACACUUGGUGUUUACAGUUAGAAAGGACUCCCACUAUGGCCAACACUUCACUCUCCAAAUUAACACAUUUACCCAGCCAAAAAGGACACAGUCAAGGGAAAAGGAUUAGAAACUGAGGUCAGUGUCAUUUUACAAGCUGAAAUGACUAUGUUAUUCUGUAAUCAUCAACUGGGCCCAACAGAGAACAACUCUCUGAUGACAGUUCUUCGAAUGAACAGAGGGAAGUUUCCACAUUUACUGGUAUCUGAGGCCUCAGGCUGGUUGAUGUACCUUCAGAAAACACAACUCCUUCCCGGCAGAAAGAAGGUUCUGUGGCCUUGAAGAGUCUCCAGGAAGCCCUUACAGGCUUGCUUCAAGCUGGUUUUGCCUGUGAGAUAGGACAGGUUCAAAUGAGCCAAGAGAAUAAGAAAUGACUCAUCUGCCUCCUUAUCUAUGUGUCUUCAAGCUCCGGUCUACUAAAUGACCGUUUUCAGUUUUACAUUCCUUCCUCUGAGCAUUUCCGUGGGUGGGGAAAAGGGCAGAUUUUCUAGAAAUGUAUUUUGUCUAUUGAGAGCCCCAAAAUCUGAGUCUAGGGCCAGAAAUAUAUAUGUGUGUUAUACAUAAGCUUCCUUAAAAGAAGCCAGAACUCUGUGUAUCUUUGGGAUUGAACUGAAACCAACUUUCCACAGAAUUUGAGUAUCUGUUGGUGGUUGAGAUGGCAUGAGACCCCAUUUCCUUCCUCCUGCAGCAUCUGCAUGCUCUAUCAACUGUGUGUGUACAUGGAAUCAUAAUGAUGCUCUAAGGAUCUCCCAUCUCAUGAAAGACAGACAGGACCACACUCCUUGCAAUCUACAGUUGCACCUCCAAGGGGCCUUUUGAAACUGCAACGAAACCAAGUUCUUUGCAUGAAUCUUUGGCUGUGCAUAGUUAGGUAGUGGGAGACUACUAUACGGCUAGAUCUAUAAUGUUGUCCAAGCAGCCUGUGUUUCAGGUUUGUGUCCCAGCCUGGCAGUCUUGGCGAGAAGGCAGUAAAAACCUUUAUGAACUGUGACCUAAUAGGAAGGCAUAAGUCUUUGGCAUGUGCCCUCAACAUGUAUCAUGGCACCAAAAUCUCCUCCUCUUCUUUGCAACCAGUCAUGAGGUGAGCAGCUUGAUUCCGUCACACAACACCACCAUGAUGAGUUGUUUCACCCCAGCCCCAAAGCAACAAGAACCAUCAAUCAUGGGCUAAAACCACCAAAACAAACCUUUUCUCUUUGUAUGUUGACUAUCCUAAAUGUCUGGUAUAGUAACUGAAAACAAGCUAAUAAAGGAUAAUUAAAUGAUAUGCUAUAUUAAAA